UGCCAGCCGCCGCGGUAAUACGGAGGGUGCAAGCGUUAUCCGGAUUUAUUGGGUUUAAAGGGUGCGCAGGCGGAACUGUAAGUCAGUGGUGAAAGCCCACAGCUCAACUGUGGAACUGCCAUUGAUACUGCUGUUCUUGAAUCUAGUUGAAGUAAACGGAAUGUAACAUGUAGCGGUGAAAUGCAUAGAUAUGUUACAGAACACCAAUUGCGAAGGCAGUUUACUAAGCUAGUAUUGACGCUCAGGCACGAAAGCGUGGGGAGCAAACAGGAUUAGAUA
rnacentral:rRNA from 1 species